GGGGCUGGAGAAGGCAAAGUGCAGAGGAAGGAGGAGCCACUGCUAGUGGGUACGAGGUUUCUUCUUGGUACAAGGACUUCUACGUUCUGUCCUCCUGCAGCCAUCUAAAAUCAGCCAGAAAGGUUUAGGAUCCCAUUUCCUGUUCUUGCAUCGGCUGUCCAAGCUGCUGUUCCUCUCUCCGCAGUAAGAGGGUGUUUCUCUCCCUGUUCAAGAGGAGCACCAACACUUGAGGACAGUAUCAUCCCUAGACCUUGGCAAGAGAGACCACUGAGUGAGGCAUCCAUGGAACCCAAGGAAGAGGCCUACGAAGAACCUGCAGUCACCUUCUAGACCAUUCUCCCUCACCAAACUGUCCCCUCCAGAGAGCUGAGGACUGGAUCUUCCCAUGCUGACACCUCCAGUGGGAAAGAAAAUUCUAGAUUCAGCUCUGGGUGUCCAAGUCAUUAUGAAGGCAUAUUUGUCAAGGUGGAAGAAAAGGACAUAUUCUAUUUAGCAGUUUAAUAAGGAACAGCGGAGCUUCCCCCUAAGACCCUGGUGUGUUUCUGCAUCAGGAAACCUUCUCUCCUGCAAUGUGUCGUUUAAGAUUGAACAACAUGGUGCCUUUGCCAGAAGUUAACAGGAAACCCAAAAGGAGAUGAGCCAGACUGGUUAGUUCAGAAGAGAAUCGUUGGGGAAGACAAUGGGAGCUGCUGUUUGAAUGUGGCCCUGAGAUUAUUUGUGCUUUUCAAUCCCAUGUUACCAAAACACAUUUCAAGCUGGCCUAUAAAUCACACCUUGUGCAUAAUUUUAAGUGGAUAAAUAUUUGUCGCCCAA
ensembl:lncRNA novel transcript